UCAUUUCAGAUUAAAACCUUUCAACUUUCUUCAAUCGAAAUAACCCCCAAUCAAUUCUGAACACUAAAAUUAAUUGAAACCCUUUCAACUUUCUUCAAUUAAAACUUUCGUGAAAUGUUACCAUGGCGAUUAAAGGAGUAUUUCAAGGGGCAAUACCCUAUUGAAGAUGCUAAACCCACACUCUCUCACCACCACUGGUUUCAGAAUUGCCUCAUGCCGUCUUCAUUCACGGUGUUUAUUCACGAGGGAAGAUACAUUCCGAGCUUAUUUUCACAACUCGAAAGACCCUCUCUCUCAAUGUUUGAAGAUUGCCGGAGCUUCGCCGGAGAAACCCUCUUGCUCUCCAUCGUCGAGAGAGAGAAACGGGAGUGACAGAGAGGGAGAAGUAGGGAAGCGGUCGGUGGUUUCUGAAGGCAAUCGGAUCUUCUUCCCAAUCAAUGAAAAAAGAAGGUUGCGGAGGCGGCGUCUAGGAGUUCGGAUUUCUUUCCUCCGGCCAUCUGACUGACGUUCAGCUGUUGUAGUUCCAGGGAUGUGUAAUGCACUUGUUGAUCAAGUGGAUCAUAGCAAGAGGAAGAACUUUUUGAUCAAGUUGGUGAUUGUUUGGGUACUCUACUUAAGACCUUUAAGGCUCCAUUUUUGCCUUUAUUUGAUGAAUUAUUACCGUACUUGAUGCCUAUGUGGGGCAAUGAUAGGACCGAUGAGGAUUAGUCUUUUUUGCAAAUUCACCGUGAUAGUAUUAAUGUUGCUCAGAUUGUUCCUGCAUGGCUAAACUGAUUGCCAAUAAAAGAUGACUUGAUUGAGGCUAAAGUUGUGCAUGAUCAGCUUUGCUCAAUGGUGGAAAGGUCUGAUGGAGAAUUGUUAGGGCUUAACCAUCAGUAUCUUCCAAAGAUAGUUGGAGUAUUUGCAGAUGUUCUUUCUGCUGGUAAAGAUUUAGCUUCUGAAGAGACCGCUACUCGAAUGAUCAAUCUUCCGAGGCAGCUUCAGCAAACAUUACCACCAUCUGCCAUGGCAUCAACUUUGUCAUCGUUACAACCUCAACAACUUGCUCUUCAAUCCGUUCUCUCAUCCUAGAGGUUUAUAAAAUCAUAUCUUUAUUCAUCUGUUUGGGGUGUGUAUUAUUUGUUUUUAUCCACAAUAUAUAAUUGAAAUUGAGUUUUGCAUGCAUUAUAUUCAUACCCAUAUUAUCAACUCCGCCGCAACGCGCGGGUUCCCCACUAGUAUAUUAAAAAGGAGAAGUGAUGUACAAAGUUGUAAUUUUACAUAACGUACAAACUUUAGAACAAUAUGUACAAGAAAAUAAAGCCUUUAAAAUUACAUCUUUUCCAAAAUUUUAAGACACCUUAAGGGUGUUUUAGGAAUUUCAUCCAUGGAAUAACCCUAAAAUUAACUCCAGUCAAUUGGAAUCGUUUCUUCUCCUCACGACCCUCUAUGUCUUUGUUAUCAUCGUUUGGACUUUGGAGGACAUGAAAUAGCGAGAACAAAGAGAAGGGACUGAGCGUAGACCUCUGGCAACCGAUGAUAACAAAGCAAUAAGUUGUUUUCUAAAAGCUUAGCCAAACAUGCCCGAAAUCUCCGAUCAUUGGGAUUUGAACAGUUGCGACGGCGGUGUAUUCUUCAUCAGAAUCGGUAGGGCUGGGGUAAGUUUUCGGGUUCGAUUGUUCUUCUCCGGUAACUAUCAGUUGGUGGUUGUGGGGUUUUUCCGCCGGAGUUCGUUCAUGUUUGCUAUAUAUCUAUUGUUUGUAACGAAGAAUACAGAGAGAGGGGAGCAGGCCAAGGGCCCUCCGGCUGGCAACGGCGAAAUCGAUGACUUCUACGCUACUAAUGUUACGGCUAUCUCCUCUUAAUUUUGUUUAAUUUGAUAUUUCAAUCUUUUAAAUAUGCUGUUAGUUUUGUUUUUUUCACCCGACUGGUUUUUUUUUUUUAAUUCGACUGGUUAUUUGUUUUCAAUGAAUUACUAAUAAUGAAUGUAUUAGGUCUCCUAUUCAUGCCUACCAUUUGUUUAAUGAAAUUCUUAUGUGAAGAAUAGGUGAUGAUGUAUAAAGUUUGUUGCAGUGGUUGAAGAAUUUUACAAGCAACUUCAUUCUGGCUAGGCUUCUCUGUCCUUAUCAUUGUUUUUUUAAUUAUAACCUUUUUAUUGCAUCUCAAUAAUUUCAUGCUAAAACUGGAAAACGGUCUAGCGAGCUAGGACUUCAGCGACGCUUCAGGGAUGUUUUGGGGAUUCUGUGGUGGAUGAAAUGACGGUGUGCCAACAGGUCCUGGUUGGCGUUGAUGGUUUUGGCGGCGGUGGUGAUUGGUGUCAGUUGAGUUCUGAUCCCAAUCUUGCUGCUAAGAACAAACUUGAUUUGAUGAAAAGCAGUUCGGCUUCGAGAAAAGAGAUUGAUUUGGAAAACAACAUCAAAGCGUAUGCUCAUCCCUCUCAGCAAAUUUUGAAGCUGCAAACAAAAGAUGAUUAGGGAUAGAAUUUCGCAGUGGUUAGUGGGACAACGACGUCCAGAAAAGGUUCCAAUGAAUUAGAUGUGCAAAAUAGCAAGUCGGGUGGGUUGAGGCUUCAGGCAACGGGCUUAGCUAGGAUUGGCUCAAAACGGGUCAAAUUGGGUUGACAUAACUUCUAUAUACAAGUGCUCAUCUGAUUCUCUCCACUCUCUGCUUAAAGUUCAUUCUGUAUUGAAUGCGCAAUUAUAUUGGUGUACCGUACUCAUUGAAUGUAUUGCAUGUGCAACCUGGUACAACAUUCCUUCACUUCACCAUUAGCCAUGUUUGAAGAGUGUCUUUUCCCUCUUGUUGAUGGACUGUUCCAAGCAUACAAUGCUAAUGUUCUAGCCUAUGGCCAGGUAUAGCGGUGCAAACGAGCCGAGCUACUCGCGAGGUACUCGAGCUCGGCUCGAAAAAAAGUCCGAUCGAGUCGAGCUUGAACGAGCCUAAAAACAAGCUCGUUUAGUAAACGAGCCCACGAGCCCGAGCCCGAGCUUCGCUUAUCGAGCUCAAGCCGGCUCGCAAGCCGAAUCGAGGUUUCUGUUUAUAUAUUUUUUUAUUGAUAUAUUAAACAUUAAAUAUAUAAUUAUAUAAAAAUAAUUACCAUUUAUAUAAAUAUAAAAAAUAACUAAAUUAUAUUUAUAAUAAUAAUUAUAAUUAAUAUAAAUUAAUUAAUAAAUACUAAACGAGUCGAGCCCGAGUCGAGCUUGAGCUUGAAAUUGCGUGUUCAACAAGAUUGAAUCUUUACAGCAUCAACUAGAGUUCCAAUUGCGUGUCUCUUUCAUUGAGGACGUAUGUGACUUGUUGGAUAACAAAUGGGUAGAAUGGGCAAACAUCAACCGGAAUCGAGUGUAUACUAAACCCAGUUUCCCAGGUGGAAUAUGAAGUUCUAAACUUGCAUGAUCCGGAACAUGCUCAGAUCACUGUUUUCAGGCACUGUGGACUCUCAUUUUUUUGGAAUCCUUGUAAAAACGUUGAGAUCAUGUGUUGUACUUGUUAAAGAUCAUUACCCAACCCGGCUUGGGUGUUUACUUGUUAUAUGGCCCCCUCCUGUUGCCCGAGUCAUAAUUCAAACUCUAUUCCAAGUUAGCAUGUUUGAUUU